rnacentral:rRNA from 1 species
CUCUCCUUCCUACUAAUUUAGUACAAAAAUUUAUAUAGUCUGUUUUUAAAGAUAUAAAAAACUUUAAAUAAGGGUAGCGCUCGUAGCGGGACUUAACCCAACAUCUCACGACACGAGCUGACGACAGCCAUGCACCUCCUGUAAAUUUUUUAUUAAUUAAUAUUAAUAAUUUAAAAUAAAUUUAGUCUAGUUCUGGUAAGGUUUAUCGCGUUACAUCGAAUUAAAUUACAUGCUCCACCGCUUGUACGAGCCCCCGUCAAUUCCUUUGAGUUUCACCCUUGCGAGCGUACUACUCAGGCGGAAUACUUAACGCGUUAGCUAGGGUACUGAAUUUAUAUAUUUAAUGUCUCCAGUACCGAGUAUCCAUUGUUUACAGUUAAGACUACUGGGGUAUCUAAUCCCAUUUGCUACCUUAACUUUCGUAUCUCAGUGUCAGUAUCGACCCAGUAAGA